UCUAUUAGAUUAUAAUAGGUAUAACCUGCUCAAUGACAUAAUUAAAUAGCCGCAGAUAUUCUGUGCUAAGGUAGCAUAAUCAUUUGUUUUUUAAUUAAAAACUAGAAUGAAAGGUUUAACAUUUUAAUUAUUUUAUUAUUAAUAUUUAUUUAAGUUAUACUAAAUAUAAAAAUAUAUUUAUAUAAUAAAUAGACGAUAAGACCCUAUUGAAUUUAACUAAUGUUAAGCUGGGGCAGCUUAUUAAUAAAAAUUUUAAAUAAAUUAAAUUUACAAUUUUUCCAGUAUAACUGAUUAUAUAAACAAAUUACCAUAGGGAUAACAGCGUAAUAUUAUUUAAAAGUUCUUAUUUAAAUUAAUGUUUGCGACCUCGAUGUUGAAUUAUUAUUACUUUAUAAACGCAAUAGUUAUAAAAGUAGGUCUGUUCGACCUUUAAUAUAUUACA
rnacentral:rRNA from 1 species